rnacentral:rRNA from 1 species
UACAGAGGUCUCAAGCGUUGUUCGGAUUCAUUGGGCGUAAAGGGUGCGUAGGUGGCGCCGUAAGUCGGGUGGUGAAAUUUCGGAGCUUAACUCCGAAACUGCAUUCGAUACUGCGGUGCUUGAGGACUGGAGAGGAGACUGGAAUUCAUGGUGUAGCAGUGAAAUGCGUAGAGAUCAUGAGGAAGACCAGUGGCGAAGGCGGCAUCCUGGACCGACAUUGACGCUGAACGGCGAAAGCUAGGGGAGCAAACGGG